rnacentral:rRNA from 2 species
CAGUCGAGCGAAUCGAUGGGAGCUUGCUCCCUGAGAUUAGCGGCGGACGGGUGAGUAACACGUGGGCAACCUGCCUAUAAGACUGGGAUAACUUCGGGAAACCGGAGCUAAUACCGGAUACGUUCUUUUCUCGCAUGAGAGAAGAUGGAAAGACGGUUUACGCUGUCACUUAUAGAUGGGCCCGCGGCGCAUUAGCUAGUUGGUGAGGUAAUGGCUCACCAAGGCGACGAUGCGUAGCCGACCUGAGAGGGUGAUCGGCCACACUGGGACUGAGACACGGCCCAGACUCCUACGGGAGGCAGCAGUAGGGAAUCUUCCGCAAUGGACGAAAGUCUGACGGAGCAACGCCGCGUGAACGAAGAAGGCCUUCGGGUCGUAAAGUUCUGUUGUUAGGGAAGAACAAGUACCAGAGUAACUGCUGGUACCUUGACGGUACCUAACCAGAAAGCCACGGCUAACUACGUGCCAGCAGCCGCGGUAAUACGUAGGUGGCAAGCGUUGUCCGGAAUUAUUGGGCGUAAAGCGCGCGCAGGUGGUUCCUUAAGUCUGAUGUGAAAGCCCACGGCUCAACCGUGGAGGGUCAUUGGAAA